rnacentral:rRNA from 1 species
UACAGAGGUGGCAAGCGUUGUUCGGAAUUACUGGGCGUAAAGGGCGCGUAGGCGGCCAUCUAAGUCAGACGUGAAAUCCCCCGGCUUAACCUGGGAACUGCGUCUGAUACUGGACGGCUUGAGUAUGGGAGAGGGAUGUAGAAUUCCAGGUGUAGCGGUGAAAUGCGUAGAUAUCUGGAGGAAUACCGGUGGCGAAGGCAGGUCUCUGGGCCACUACUGACGCUGAGAAGCGAAAGCAUGGGGAGCGAACAGG